GCAUUGUUCAUCUGGUUAGUGUUAAUGCUGGCAAGGACUUCACCCUUCAGGUUCCAGAUCAGGAUGGUAGUGUCACUGGAAGCUGUCAUGAUAAACUUUCCUGUUUCUGCAACUCCUAUGUUAAUGACGGGAGCUUUGUGCUUCUUUGGGAAGUCCUCAGAAGACGCAGUGAAGGUGAAGUUGCCGUCGUCCUUCUUCGUCAUUUUAUAGACACGAAUAGUCUCUCCAUUUGCCAGCCAGACAAUGAACGCCCUGCAGUCGGGGCUGAAGCGGACGAGCUCGGCGUGGUCCAGCUCCACGUUGGCCCGCAGGCAGCGGUGCUCGCGCGCCGUGAAGUCGCGGGUGCUCCAGAGGCGCACGGUGCGGUCGUCGGCGCAGGACGCCAGGUACUUGCCGCUGCCGCUGAAGUGCAGGCAGCUCACGGAACCGCUGUGGCCCUUGAGGGCGGCGGCCAGCAGGCGGUGCGCGAAGCUGUGCUGCUGCGGCUUGUCCUUGCGCGCCCGCGCCGGCGGCUUCGCCCUCCGGGGGCCCUCGGGCCUGGCGGCGGCGUGGCCGUUCGCCCCGGCGCCCUCGCCCCGCGGAGGAGCGGCGGGCGAUCCCCGCGGGGCGGCGCGGCGCAGGGCGGCCGCCAGCAGCAGCAGCGCGAGGAGCAGCCCCAGCCCCGCGCCCAGCGCCGCCGCCUCCAUCUUCCCGCCGCCACCUCACCGCCGCCGGGCGGCGACACUCAGCGCGCGUGCGCCGAGACGCGGCUCCGCCCCUUUCCCCUCGCGCCUCUCCCACCCGCCCGCCCCGCCCCGCCCCGCCCCGCGCGUUCGGAAGGAGGAGCGGCGCGGUGCGGCGUUCUGAGGACUUUAUGGUGCGGACGCCGCUGAGAUCCGCGAGCGCUGCGUGGGUGUUACGGUGGCACCUCCGUCCCUCCCUCCCUCCCACCCUCCCGUUCCCGAACUGCUCCGCUGUCUCUCGUCGGUGCUGCCCGACCCGGGCCCUGGGCGCUAGGAGGGGCCGCCUCCGGCCGCUGCCCGCGCCGCCUGCUCGGGAACGCGGGCGGGAUCGCUGAGGAUGGAGGUAGAGAUGCUCAGCUGCCGCAGGGAGCUCAGGAUGGCUGCGGAGAGACGCGGAGACGUCAGGGCCCGGCCCGGGGCGGGCGGCAGUCCCCGGUCUCGCCGCAGCCUCGGCACGGGCGGAAGAACCGAGCAGUGCCCGUGCCGGGGCCUCCGGCUUCCACCGGGAGCGGCGGGGCCGCACGGAGCCACGUACAGGGCCGAAGCGCCGGGAGGGAGCAGUGCUGCUCCAGCCAGGACAGGGACGUCUGCGUGAGGCACUCCAUGCUGGUCGUGGACACCAUGCCGUUGAAGGACUCAAAGAGGGGCCGGAUGAUGACGCCGAACUGUUGGGAGCGGAGCGGUUAAGGAGAAGUGUCGUGAUGGCUGUGGUGCCCUGCCUGGCGCGAACGGCCCUCUCCCGCCUGCAGUGCAGCUGCGCUGGGUGCCCUGUGCUGCUCGGAGGGCACCAGGGUGGCAGGGGUGUCCCUGCACCCCACCUGGUGCUCCCAGGCCAGGAACCGCAGUGUGUGGAGAACCAGGGGCAGAAUGGCACAGCCCAUGUUGUGGCCAGGGCUGCUCCAACGCAGGACAGCUCUUCUAAACCAGGCCUAGAGCCACCUCCUGCCACGUCCUCUGCAGGUGCCUGAGAGCAGGGCGCAGCACCCAGCACGUGUGCUCCCCUGGGUGCACCCAGUGCUGGGGAUGGUGACUGUGCGUGCAGUAAUCCCCAGCAGGUGCCUCCACCAUACCCGUGUCCUGGGAUCGGCUUCAGUACCCUCACUGUACUGUGGAAAGAACCCCAUUGCUCUCCCAAAACCUGUGUCAGGGGCACCUUGCCACUGUCUGCGUGUUCGUGGGUGGUGGGGGCUGCCUGUGCCUCUGCCACCAGGCAGUGUGCAGACCUCAUGGUCUCUUCAGACUUGGCCGCAGGGUGUGAAAUCCUCAUUCAUGGAGAAGAAGGCCCAGCUCUCUGAACACCUUGGCAGCCAUUCCUUCCCCCUCCAUCCUUCCAACAUGCUAAGUCCAGACUUGUAUCCAGCUUAACCUCCAUUUUCCAGGGGGCACCACGCUGGCCACCCAGGUGAAACCAUCAUGUUCCUGGCUUUGUGUCUGAUCCUUUCCCAAUCUCUAAUGGAUGGCUGCUGCAUCUCAGCUCCCGAGUUACUGGGAGCAAUUGCCUAUGUGGCAAUGCUGAGCUCAGCUCUGCUGGUGGCUUCCCUGCUCCCCAAGGACCGACCAUUUAUUCCUACUCUGGUUGCUCUCUUGUGACAGAAAUUUCUUCUUAGCAUCUGAGCGUGUCCCCUCCACGCAUCACCCACAGAGCCUCUUGAGAAGGACGGAUCCCACACGGAGCUGGGAGGAGACAGUGGACCCAGUGUAUGGUGGAAGGGGCAGUGAGAAGCCGGUGCUGGCCCAAAGGAUACGAUCCAGAACUUCCAGUUGUGCAGUGUGGAGGAGCGCACAUAGUCGUCAAACAUACUGCGCAUCUGGUCGAAGCGCUGGCGCGUGAUGGGCACCCCGGUGGCUGGCAGCUGCUCCUGGCACAGGCUGUAGGGCACAAACAGUACUGUGGGGCCUCAGGUAGGAGGCUGGAGCACACAGCAGCUGCCCCACGUGAGAAGAGGAUCCCAGUGUGCUGCAGGGCUCAGUAGCUCUGCGUGUCUCAAGCAGGCAGUGUCUUGUUCUCACGGCAGCAUGCCACACACAGCACCGUUUUUUGAGCAUUGCCCCACAGCAGGGAACACAUGAAUGUGGGUUCUGGGCAAUGCUCAGAAGAGAUGCUGCAGCCUGCUGCCCCUGGCACUGCCGUCUGCCCUGCCUGGCUGUGCUGAUGCAGGCAGCAGCUCCCUGCUUCCCCGAGUCCCCCUACUUGAUUGAGCUGUUGAGCUCCUCAAUCUGCUCCCGCAGCCGCUGCGCCUCAUCCUGGAGGGCCGCCCGCUCCUGCUGCAGUUUGCAGAUGUACUCAGCAGUCUUCUGCAGGGUGGUGGCCUUGCUGACCUGCGGGGUGGCAGAGGUGGGAUGGCACAGGGAGCCUCUGGGGUGGCGUAGGGCUGUGUGCCCCAUUGCUGUGCCUUGGCACCGGGCUGCAGACCCUAGGUACGACACCGUGCGUGCCGGUGCAGCCCAGAACCACGUCGUCACCAGGUGAUGUCCUGUAUCCCUGCAUGUUCAGCGCCAGCUGUGUGCUCACCUUAAUGCUGGGCUGGGCACUCAGCGUGCUCACGAGGCUGUGCAGUGUGUCAAAGCCCAGCUUGAUGUUGAAACGUCUCUUCUGCUCAGCGGAGAUGUGUGUGAUGCGCCGGCUCUCCAUCUGCAGGCAGCAGAGAUGGCUUUGGGCCUCUCCCUGCAUUGGAGACAGGCUGGCCCCAAGUGUGCAUCAAGGGUGGGGGUGAAUGUGGAGGGCAGCAGGAAGGGGGUCUACAUGGAGAAGCUACCCCAUAAAAGGCAGCCCUUGCUCCCACCAUACCUUGCUGGAGUCAGGCCUGCCCCGACGGGAUGGGGGGUGGUGCAGGGAGAUGGUGGUACCGGGUGGUGGAGCAGCUCCUGGGGACACCUGGCCAGGCUUGGGCCAGUCACUGCCUGGGGGGUGAGAGAGGGUGUGCUGGGGACAGUGUGAGCAGUGCAGCACUGCCCUGGCUCUGGGGCAGCAAGCCACGUCUGUCUGACCACGUCUUGUUGCCCCAUCUCAUCCCAAAUCACUGUCAUUUUUACAAGAAAUGGGAGCAUUUGGGACAUGAAGUUUUAAAUUCCCAGCGGGGUGGAAGCCACCAGGAGAGAGUCCUGAGUGCAGAAGGGCUGUGGUUUGCAGCGCCCAACUGGAAGUGGAAAUGAGCAGGGAGCUUCCUGCCCUAGUCUGGUUUCUGUGGGUGAAAGCAGGGUGCUUCCUGCCUUAAAACCAAGCUCUGGUUUUCAAAACCACAUUCUGGCAUUUCGCUACAUUUUGUCUUUUCCUUUUUAUGGUUUUGCCCCCCAGAGAAGGAGCCAGAUGAAAGGUCUGCACCCUCCCCAGCAGAAAGAAAUCAUUUUCAUUCAGCUGGGUAAUUAUAAGCCGUAGGAAUAAAAAAUAAAUUGAACUUUCUCAGGAAAAAAAAAAAACUCUGUGUUUGGUUAAGCUCCCUGCAGGAAAAGGGGCACCCUGCAGGCACCCAGGCUCACCGCAGACCAAUGUUGGGGAGAGCCGCUCCGCCUUGGGGACCCGCAGCGGCCCUGGUGCAGCACCCGCCUGCAUCACGGGCACCUCCUGUGAAGGGCUGGAGCCAGGAGACAGCACCGAGCUCAGCUGGGCCACUCUGGGCAGGAAGACAGCAGGAACAUCGGGGACACUGCUCUGCUGCGGAGAGAAGGCAGAGGGAAGCAGGAGGGAUGUUGGGGCCGGCACCCCACACAUGCCAGGUUUACACAGCCCCUUUGGUUACCCAAAACCCACAGUGGGACCAGGGAGGGAGCCCCACAGGGCUCUAAGGUGAGAUCUCUCCCAGCUCUGCCAUUUCUCUAACUGGGGCUGACUCCCACCCAGCCUCACUCUGAGCCUCCCCAGCACCCUGGCCACAAGCCCCAUGUACAUCUAACUCCGCUUUGCAAAGGGCUUCACACAGAGCUGCUUUCUCUCCACUCUCCUCAUUCCCCAGCAACAAGAAGGCAAUUCCCAGCCAGAGGGAGCAGUCCCCAACCUGGAGAUAGGUGGGUUCUUACCGGAGAGGCCGGGGACGCAGGCAUGAGCGCCGGGCUGUGCACGUGUGGAGCAUCGAAGGCUGGCUCCUGCUUGGCUGCGAGAAGUCAGAGAGCAGAAGGGCAUUUCCUCAUGGGGCUGUUAGUGCUUGGGUGACAUUUUCCUGUCCCACGGCGGUGCCAGCCCUGAGCACCAGCCCUGAGCACCAGCCCAUCUGUCCAUCUGCCCCAGGGAAGGCUGUGACAGCUGCAGGAAGCAGCCUACCUUUCCCAGCACCCCCGAGCACCCCUGCUUCCCUCCAGAUCAC
rnacentral:lncRNA from 1 species